GCGCCUGUAGCUCAAUACGGAUAGAGCGUUGGCCUCCGGAGCCGAAGGUUGUGCGUUCGAUUCGCACCGGGCGCA
rnacentral:tRNA from 1 species